rnacentral:rRNA from 1 species
GCAAGUAGAACGCUGAAGAGAGGAGCUUGCUCUUCUUGGAUGAGUUGCGAACGGGUGAGUAACGCGUAGGUAACCUGCCUUGUAGCGGGGGAUAACUAUUGGAAACGAUAGCUAAUACCGCAUAACAAUGGAUGACACAUGUCAUUUAUUUGAAAGGGGCAAUUGCUCCACUACAAGAUGGACCUGCGUUGUAUUAGCUAGUAGGUGAGGUAACGGCUCACCUAGGCGACGAUACAUAGCCGACCUGAGAGGGUGAUCGGCCACACUGGGACUGAGACACGGCCCAGACUCCUACGGGAGGCAGCAGUAGGGAAUCUUCGGCAAUGGGGGCAACCCUGACCGAGCAACGCCGCGUGAGUGAAGAAGGUUUUCGGAUCGUAAAGCUCUGUUGUAAGUCAAGAACGAGUGUGAGAGUGGAAAGUUCACACUGUGACGGUAGCUUACCAGAAAGGGACGGCUAACUACGUGCCAGCAGCCGCGGUAAUACGUAGGUCCCGAGCGUUGUCCGGAUUUAUUGGGCGUAAAGCGAGCGCAGGCGGUUUGAUAAGUCUGAAGUUAAAGGCUGUGGCUCAACCAUAGUUCGCUUUGGAAACUGUCAAACUUGAGUGCAGAAGGGGAGAGUGGAAUUCCAUGUGUAGCGGUGAAAUGCGUAGAUAUAUGGAGGAACACCGGUGGCGAAAGCGGCUCUCUGGUCUGUAACUGACGCUGAGGCUCGAAAGCGUGGGGAGCGAACAGGAUUAGAUACCCUGGUAGUCCACGCCGUAAACGAUGAGUGCUAGGUGUUGGAUCCUUUCCGGGAUUCAGUGCCGCAGCUAACGCAUUAAGCACUCCGCCUGGGGAGUACGACCGCAAGGUUGAAACUCAAAGGAAUUGACGGGGGCCCGCACAAGCGGUGGAGCAUGUGGUUUAAUUCGAAGCAACGCGAAGAACCUUACCAGGUCUUGACAUCCCGAUGCUAUUUCUAGAGAUAGAAAGUUACUUCGGUACAUCGGUGACAGGUGGUGCAUGGUUGUCGUCAGCUCGUGUCGUGAGAUGUUGGGUUAAGUCCCGCAACGAGCGCAACCCCUAUUGUUAGUUGCCAUCAUUCAGUUGGGCACUCUAGCGAGACUGCCGGUAAUAAACCGGAGGAAGGUGGGGAUGACGUCAAAUCAUCAUGCCCCUUAUGACCUGGGCUACACACGUGCUACAAUGGUUGGUACAACGAGUUGCGAGUCGGUGACGGCAAGCUAAUCUCUUAAAGCCAAUCUCAGUUCGGAUUGUAGGCUGCAACUCGCCUACAUGAAGUCGGAAUCGCUAGUAAUCGCGGAUCAGCACGCCGCGGUGAAUACGUUCCCGGGCCUUGUACACACCCCCGUCACACCACGAGAGUUUGUAA